rnacentral:rRNA from 1 species
CUGACUGCUAUCGGAUUGGUACUAAGCCAUGUGAGUCAUUGUAGCAAUACAAGGCAUACGGCUCAGUAACACGUAGUCAAUCUGCCCUAUGGACGUGGAUAACCUCGGGAAACUGAGAAUAAUCCGCGAUAGAUCAUAAUGCCUGGAACGGUUUAUGGUCCAAAUGAUUCGUCGCCAUAGGAUGGGACUGCGGCCUAUCAGCUUGUUGGUGAGGUAAUGGCCCACCAAGGCUAUUACAGGUACGGGCUCUGAGAGGAGAAGCCCGGAGAUGGGUACUGAGACACGGACCCAGGCCCUAUGGGGCGCAGCAGGCGAGAAACCUUUGCAAUGUGCGCAAGCACGACAAGGUUAAUCCGAGUGUUUCCUGCUAAAGGAAUCUUUUGUUAGUUCUAAAACCACUGAUGAAUAAGGGGUGGGCAAGUUCUGGUGUCAGCCGCCGCGGUAAAACCAGCACCUCAAGUGGUCAGGAGGAUUAUUGGGCCUAAAGCAUCCGUAGCCGGUUCUGUAAGUUUCCGGUUAAAUCCACUAGCUCAACUAAUGGGCUGCCGGAAAUACUGCAGAACUAGGGAGUGGGAGAGGUAGACGGUACUCGGGAGGAAGGGGUAAAAUCCUUUGAUCUCUUGAUGACCACCUGUGGCGAAGGCGGUCUACCAGAACACGUUCGACGGUGAGGGAUGAAAGCUGGGGGAGCAAACCGGAUUAGAUACCCGGGUAGUCCCAGCUGUAAACGAUGCAGACUCGGUGAUGCACUGGCUUUUGGCUAGUGCAGUGCCGCAGGGAAGCCGUUAAGUUUGCCGCCUGGGAAGUACGUACGCAAGUAUGAAACUUAAAGGAAUUGGCGGGGGAGCACCACAAGGGGUGAAGCCUGCGGUUCAAUUGGAUUCAACGCCGGAAA